GUCCGAGCUCCCACACAGGUGCUGGGGCUGUGCUGCCACCAGCUUGGAUUUUCAUUGAUUGAAAUUGCACUUUAAAUAAAAUCUCUUUGGCAUUUUCACUUUUGUAAAAAAAAAAACACUACUUGGAUGCCAGCCAGCCUCGCCCUGGGAGCAGAUCAUGAUUCUGGAAGGAGGUGGUGUAAUGAAUCUCAACCCUGGCAACAACCUCCUUCACCAGCCGCCAGCCUGGACAGACAGCUACUCCACGUGCAAUGUUUCCAGCGGGUUUUUUGGAGGCCAGUGGCAUGAAAUUCAUCCUCAGUACUGGACCAAGUACCAGGUGUGGGAAUGGCUCCAGCACCUCCUGGACACCAACCAGCUGGAUGCCAGUUGUAUCCCUUUCCAAGAGUUCGACAUCAACGGCGAGCACCUCUGCAGCAUGAGUUUGCAGGAGUUCACCAGGGCAGCAGGGACGGCGGGGCAGCUCCUCUACAGCAACUUGCAG
rnacentral:sRNA from 1 species